AAUAGAUACCCGGGUAGUCCACGCCGUAAACGAUGAGUGCUAAGUGUUGGGGGGUUUCCGCCCCUCAGUGCUGCAGCUAACGCAUUAAGCACUCCGCCUGGGGAGUACGGUCGCAAGACUGAAACUCAAAGGAAUUGACGGGGGCCCGCACAAGCGGUGGAGCAUGUGGUUUAAUUCGAAGCAACGCGAAGAACCUUACCAGGUCUUGACAUCCCGGUGACCACUAUGGAGACAUAGUUUCCCCUUCGGGGGCAACGGUGACAGGUGGUGCAUGGUUGUCGUCAGCUCGUGUCGUGAGAUGUUGGGUUAAGUCCCGCAACGAGCGCAACCCUUAUUCUUAGUUGCCAUCAUUUAGUUGGGCACUCUAAGGAGACUGCCGGUGAUAAACCGGAGGAAGGUGGGGAUGACGUCAAAUCAUCAUGCCCCUUAUGACCUGGGCUACACACGUGCUACAAUGGACGGUACAAACGGUUGCCAACCCGCGAGGGGGAGCUAAUCCGAUAAAACCGUUCUCAGUUCGGAUUGUAGGCUGCAACUCGCCUACA
rnacentral:rRNA from 1 species